CUCAAGGCCAGCCUGAAUUGCAUAGGGAAACCCUGUCUCACAAAGGCAAAAAAAAAAAAAAAAAAGAAAGAAAGAAAGAAAGAAAGUUGCAGGAGACAUGCGCAGAACUGUUCCCAAGGUCCUGCAAAUGGAACCAAUCAGAGAGAGCCAUCUUCAGUUGUUCUCGCGAGAACUCCAACAGGCGAUCAGCCUGAAGGUGGGGAGACACAAAGAUGGCAGCCAUGGAGCUGACACUGCUGUGGGCUUUUCUUGUAGUUCAUAGGGAGGAUCUCUUUUCUUGCCUUUAGUUGGCUCUAGGGCUCUGCAGAGUAUAUUUCUGUUCUCUUCUUACCUUUAACAAACGUGAAACCUCACUAAUUUUUGCACUUGUCUUGACCAAUUCUUUGUUCAGGACAGAAAAAGCCUAGAAACCUAGAAACCAGACUCCUUUCCUAAGGGUCGGAGGUGAAUGUAAUCACCUACCAGCUGCUAAGGGCCAUUGAAACCAGGCAGAGAUGUGAAUGCAGGCAUCUUCCUCUUCCACAAUCCACAGAUUGAUUAUAAAUUUCACAAUAUCUGAUGCCAGAUGCAGUGGCACAUUCCCGGAGACCAGCCUGGGCUACACAGUGAGUUCAAGACUCCUCUGAACGGCAUGGUCUUCCUCUUGGCCACAGCCUGCAGGGUCGUCUGCUGGGACCUCCCUGAAGAGCAAGUCCGGGCUGGGAAGCCACGGGGAGGUCCCCGGGUGACUCACGCUCCACAGACUCUGGCCUUUAAGAGGGAAAAAUCGCCCGUUUCUCACAGAUGCAGCGUGUCAGAGGCCCUGCUCCCCAGGGCAGUGCAGGGCGGCCACCACAAGGCCUGCACAGCUGGAAGGCGCCACCCUGGGCGCUUCUGCGGCAGAAAAGCAGCCGGAAGACACUGUAUUCAGCCAGCGGCUGGGACCCUGUUGUGCUUGGUGGAGCUGUGCUUUAUUUCUGUUGCCCUUCGGGAAUUCUGUUUAAGAGAAAUAUUUAUAGCUUUAUAAUAAAAAACACUGCUCCUUUUUUUUAAAAAUUCAGCACAAGCGUCUAAUCCAUCUCUCCUGUAACGCGAAGUUUGCCUGCUAACUAGACAGAUACAAAGGUUCAUUUGCAAGAGGCCCUAGUUCCCUGUUAGGUGUAGAGCAUUUAUUUAAUUUACUGUUAACAACCAGAUAUAAUAAAGCAUGUGUGAAAGAAAAC
rnacentral:lncRNA from 1 species